rnacentral:rRNA from 1 species
CGGACCGGCGCACGGGUGAGUAACACGUAUGCAACCUGCCCUCUUCAGGGGGACAACCUUCCGAAAGGGAGGCUAAUCCCGCGUAUAUCGGUUUCGGGCAUCCGAGAUCGAGGAAAGAUUCAUCGGAAGAGGAUGGGCAUGCGGCGCAUUAGCUAGACGGCGGGGUAACGGCUCACCGUGGCGACGAUGCGUAGGGGUUCUGAGAGGAAGGUCCCCCACACUGGUACUGAGACACGGACCAGACUCCUACGGAAGGCAGCAG